rnacentral:rRNA from 1 species
GAGAACUAGGGGCCGGCGGCGGCGGUAACCGGGGUGGGAAGCUGUUUGUCCGGGUGGAUGGGGCGGAGGGCGCUCGUAGGCGGCGCGGAAAGGCGGUCGGGAAAGGCCGGGGCUCAGCCCCUGGACUGCGUCCGAUACUCCCGAGCUGGAGGCAGGUAGGGGAGAUCGGAAUUCCUGGUGUAGCGGUGAAAUGCGCAGAUAUCAGGAGGAACACCGGUGGCGAAGGCGGAUCUCUGGGCCUUGCCUGACGCUGAGGCGCGAAAGCUAGGGGAGCGAACAGGAUUAGAUACCCGUGUAGUC